rnacentral:rRNA from 1 species
UUAUAAUUUUUAUUAUAAGUUUAAAGACGAAUCUAACUAACAGUGUCGUCCAAAUGCUGUCAGUUGUAGUGGGAUUACAACAUAUAUGGCUAUUAAAUUACCAAAUUCCGGGGACACCCUAAAGAUUAAAGUACCAAGCUAUGUUCGAAAGAAUGUGAGUGGCUGAAGUAAUGAUUCAGGUAGGGUAACAAGCUUUAAUAUGACUGAAAAUGAAAUGGGUUAUCGCGGAUCUAAGUCAUCUGUAUCUAAUUUAAAUAAUAAAUUAACAGCUACAGGUGUAAAAGAGCAACGAGUAGACGGUAAUUGGUGUUUUCUUAAAUCAAGAAAAUGUUUAAGGUAUACUCUAACGGGUCUCGAAAGAGACUAUCUAGUCGGAAUCCCUUCUAAUCAAAAAGCUAAAAGAUUUUUUUCUACUAGUGAUAAUAUAACAUUGAAUCCUUAUUUUGUUACAGGAUUUACAGAUGCUGAAGGAAGUUUUACUGUCUCUAUUUUAUCCUGAUAGUUCUAUGAAGACCGGUAUUAGAGUAACUGCUGAAUUUAAAAUAGGCUUGAACGAACGAGAUAGUGAUCUUUUAUUAAAAAUUCAACAAUUUUUUGGAGGAAUAGGUAAAAUAAAUUAUAAUAAUUCCUCUAAAGCAUCAAUAUAUAGAGUAUAUAAAAAAGANNNNAGAAUUGAAAAUUCUGCAGUAAGUAUUGUAGCAGGUAACUUUUUAGAUAUAACAAAUAAAAUAAUUCCUUUCUUUAAUAAAUAUCUCAUUUAUGGUAUAAAAUAUUAUGAAUAUUUAGAUUGAGUAAAAAUAGCAGAAUUAAUAAAAUUAGGCAAAAAUAAAACUCCUUUCCUCUAACGGGUAGGAAUGGAAGAAAUAAAACGAAUAGAAACUAGAAUGAAUAAAGGUAGAAAAUAAUAAAAAUUAGCUAUUGCACGAUAAAUCCGAUAACCGUGGGUGCCAGAAGACUCGGUAAUACCAGAGACGCGAACGUUAAUCAUCUUGAAUGGGCAUAAAGGGUUUGUAGGCGGCUUAUUUAUUAAUAGGCUAGAAUCUUAGAGAGGUUAAUAAAAUACUUAGAGGAGGGCUGAUAUCCAUAGAUCCUAAGUGGAAUCCUAAUUGUGAAGACCAUUUUCCACUACAGAUUGACGCUGAGAAACGAAGGUUAGGAUAGGAACUAGGAUUAGAGACCCUAUUACCCCUAACUGUAAACGAUGAAUGGAAGAUAUUUACAAUUGUAAGUGUCGAAGUGAAUACGAUAACCAUUCCGCCUUGCCAGUAUACUUGCAAAAGUGAAAACAAAAAAA